UACGUAGGGUGCAAGCGUUGUCCGGAAUUAUUGGGCGUAAAGAGCUCGUAGGCGGUCUGUCGCGUCUGCUGUGAAAACUCAGGGCUUAACCCUGAGCUUGCGGUCGAUACGGGCAUGACUGGAGUUCGGCAGGGGAGACUGGAAUUCCUGGUGUAGCGGUGAAAUGCGCAGAUAUCAGGAGGAACACCGGUGGCGAAGGCGGGUCUCUGGGCCGAUACUGACGCUGGAGGAGCGAAAGCCGUGGGGGAGCGAACAGG
rnacentral:rRNA from 1 species